rnacentral:tRNA from 1 species
GGCGACAUAGCCAAGUGGUAAGGCAAAGGUCUGCAAAACCUCUAUUCCCCAGUUCGAAUCUGGGUGUCGCCU